GAUGAACGCUGGCGGCGUGCUUAACACAUGCAAGUCGAACGAGGUCCAACCUUCGGGUGAAGACCGAGUGGCGAACGGGUGAGUAACACGUGGGGAACCUGCCCUUCUCUCUGGGAUAACUCCGGGAAACCGGAGCUAAUACCGGAUACUCCUUGCGGAUCGCAUGGUCCGCUUGGGAAAGCUCCGGCGGUGAAGGAUGGUCCCGCGGCCCAUUAGCUUGUUGGUGAGGUAACGGCUCACCAAGGCGACGAUGGGUAGCCGAGCUGAGAGGCUGAUCGGCCACACUGGGACUGAGACACGGCCCAGACUCCUACGGGAGGCAG
rnacentral:rRNA from 1 species